rnacentral:rRNA from 1 species
UACGGGGGGGGCAAGCGUUGUUCGGAAUUACUGGGCGUAAAGGGCUCGUAGGCGGCCAACUAAGUCAGACGUGAAAUCCCCAGGCUCAACCUGGGAACUGCGUCUGAUACUGGAUGGCUUGAAUUCGGGAGAGGGAUGCAGAAUUCCAGGUGUAGCGGUGAAAUGCGUAGAUAUCUGGAGGAAUACCGGUGGCGAAGGCGGCAUCCUGGACCGACAUUGACGCUGAGGAGCGAAAGCGAGGGGAGCAAACGGG